UGUGAAUUGUGUCCAGGGACUGUAACCUGAGAGGAAACAAGAAAGUUAUCUGAGUGAUUUCAGAUGUUUUGUGGUGCCAACAGUGAAAAACACUGAUAUCCACCACUAAAAUGCAGCCUUUAUGAAACACACGUAACAACCUGCCAGGUCUCCCCAGGCUAGAAACAGCUUCAGUCCUGCUCGGUGAAUGAGUUACCAAGUGCCUACUGAUACGGACCGCAGUUGUUAAUGCUGUUGCUGAGAAUUACAAAGUGAAAUAAAGACAGUUCCUUUAUCUGAAGAUGUAAGUCAGAAGCAAUAGACUGAUUUCUGUCCCCAUCGUUUUCAUGGAGCGCAAAGGUACCACCCGAAAUGGGAUUUGGCUUCUAUUUGAAAAAUUGCCAGUUGGGGAAAAAACAUGAUUUUCUGAGUUUCUUCCUAUUUUUGCCACCUCACCGACUCCCCGCUAAAUGCAAGUUGGCCUUUUAUUCUGUCCUGAUGUAUCUACUUUUGGACUUCCAGACUUAUUUUAGAUCCUUUCUAGGCACCACCAAACUUUUCACUUAGAAGGAAGUGACUGUUUUACCAGAAGAGAUUAUUUAUUUCUAUAUGCUGAAAUCAAAAAUUGAAAAAAGACCAGAAGAUCCAAAGAGAUGCAGAGACAGCCAGCACUAUGACAUCAGGAGAACAAAAAGCAAAAUUUUGAAAAAAGCUCAGAUAAUAAGCAAAGGAGAAUAAAAUCUGAGACUUAAAUUUUGUGGCCACAUCUGGAAAUGAGGGGCAGAAAUGUAAAGCUCUCCUUCCCUUGGGGAUGUAUCAAGCUCUGUGGAUGAAAAGCCCGUGCUGGGCAAGGACUGGCCACAGCGCAGAGUCUGAGCCGGUGGUACUCGGGAGACUGUUCACUCCCAUGUCCCCACCUAAUGAUUAUAGCUGCCACUGACUUUGGAUCUGAUAACAGAUGCGUAUCUGUGUCUCACAGGCUUCUGGAACUCAACACAUACCAGAUUCUCUCAGGUCCAGGUUGCUUAGGUUUCUGGAUGCUGUGGGCCAUCCCCCAAACCUCUGGGUUCAGAUCUGCUCUGAGGAGUUCAAGGGAGAGAACAGCAGCAGGUAAUAUCACGUCUUGCUCAUCUUUGCUUCUCCCCAGAGAGGGAACAAGCAGGACAUUCCAGAUCCCUAGAAUUCACACUCAACUUAAUGUCUGCCUUACCGUCAUCCCAACAGGAGCCUAGUCAACCCUCUAAGCAUGACAACACAGCACCAAAGGACCUGAGUUUAGAUUGAGGUUGGCCGUGAGAUUUAAUUGAAAGAAUGACCCCAUCGGAGCCUUAGAACAAGCUGGGCAGGUGGGAAGCUUUGGUGUGAAGCAUGCAGAAAAUCCAGCAAUUAUGCAAUUAUGCAGCAGACCCACGAUGCAAACCUCUUCAACACAAACACACAUCCUCCACUUUGGCUUCAUGUGGUAGCAUAACUGUCGCCCUAAUUCCUGAUACCUUUCUCCCCCAAGCCGUUCUCAAUGGAGAAAAAUAACUAACCCGGGCAACGCAGAAGAGCCUUCCACACCCUGCCGAGGAUUCCAUCAUCAUCACAAGCAAUGUGUUGCUCUAGUACAAUGGUUUUCGAAGAGUAGUCCCUGGACGGGCAGCGUCAGCAUCACCAGGGAAGAUGUUAAUCAUUCCAGACCCACUAAAUCAGAAACUCUGGGGAUGGGGCCUGGCAAUCUCAUUUUAACAAACCCUCCUGGUGAGUCUGCUGCACAUGUUUGAGAAGGACCACUCUUGUCACAUUAAGUCUGCUCAUCUGUGAUAAAGGCCAGACAGCCAUCAAAAAACAGGCUGCAAAGACUCCCAAUGCCAGGUCAUUUGGCAGAGUUGAGGGGUGGGAGGGGUUGAAGCUAACGGUGCUAGGUAACCACCCCAGUUCUAGAAGAAAUGCAAAAUGGCAUGUCCAAAGUUCUCUGGUCUGUGAUAUUAUAUGGCAAGUGACAAGCAAACUUGGCUUCUUUCUAAAUGGGUGAUAAAUGUAACAGAGUAACAGCCUGUUUUCCUGAUCUUUUGCCAGAUUUCCAGGUCAUUCAACUUGUAAAAUUAGAAGUACCCUGGAUUUUACACCCGCAUAUUAAAGUAACACACACCAUGCUUUCUCUUAUAUGAACCGAUAGGUGCUGCACUUCUCACAGGCUGCAGAUGUUCACGCAGAGAGAAUUCUGAACCAUUGUUCUGGUACUAAAAAUGAGGCUAUACCUAGAAAACAUAAAUAGGGGCUUGCAUUUUCUCAGCCCAGAGGGUUUGCCAGAUGCUAUAUUUUGUGUUAACAGGAAUUAAUAAAAAAAUCUUACAAACC